rnacentral:rRNA from 2 species
UGAAACUUUAACAGAACCCUUCGGGGCGAAGAUAAAGUGGAUUAGCGGCGGACGGGUGAGUAACACGUGAGUAACCUGCCUUAGACAUUGGGAUAGCCUCGGGAAACCGGGAUUAAUACCAAAUAAAAUCAUAAUGACACAUGUCAUAACGAUCAAAACUCCGGUGGUCUAAGAUGGACUCGCGUCCCAUUAGCUAGUUGGUAGAGUAAAAGCCUACCAAGGCGACGAUGGGUAGCCGGCCUGAGAGGGUGAACGGCCACAUUGGAACUGAGAAACGGUCCAAACUUCUACGGGAGGCAGCAGUGGGGAAUAUUGCACAAUGGAGGGAACUCUGAUGCAGCGACGCCGCGUGAACGAAGAAGGCUUUCGAGUCGUAAAGUUCUUUUAUAUGGGAAGAUAAUGACGGUACCAUAAGAAAAAGCCCCGGCUAACUACGUGCCAGCAGCCGCGGUAAUACGUAGGGGGCUAGCGUUGUCCGGAAUCACUGGGCGUAAAGGGUUCGCAGGCGGAAAUGCAAGUCAGAUGUAAAAGGCAGUAGCUUAACUACUGUAAGCAUUUGAAACUGCAUAUCUUGAGAAGAGUAGAGGUAAGUGGAAUUUUUAGUGUAGCGGUGAAAUGCGUAGAUAUUAAAAAGAAUACCGGUGGCGAAGGCGACUUACUGGGCUCAUUCUGACGCUGAGGAACGAAAGCGUGGGUAGCAAAC